GUGCUCACUUCAGCAGCACAUACACCAAAAUCGGAAUGAUACAGAGAAGAUUAUCAUGGUCCCUGGGCAAGGAUGACACGCAAAUUCGUGCUGUGUACCAUAUUUAA